GACGAACGCUGGCGGCGUGCUUAACACAUGCAAGUCGAACGGAAAGGCCCUGCUUUUGUGGGGUGCUCGAGUGGCGAACGGGUGAGUAACACGUGAGUAACCUGCCCUUGACUUUGGGAUAACUUCAGGAAACUGGGGCUAAUACCGGAUAGGAGCUCCUGCUGCAUGGUGGGGGUUGGAAAGUUUCGGCGGUUGGGGAUGGACUCGCGGCUUAUCAGCUUGUUGGUGGGGUAGUGGCUUACCAAGGCUGUGAAGGGUAGCCGGCCUGAGAGGGUGACCGGGCACAUUAGGACUGAGGUAGGGACCAGACUGGAACGGGAGGCAACGGUGGGGAGUAUUACACAAUGGGCGGAAGCCUGAUGCGACAGCGCCGCGUGCGGAAUGACGGCCUUCGGGUUGUAAACCGCUUUCGCCUGAGACGAAGCGUGAGUGACGGUAAUGGGUAAAGAAGCACCGGCUAACUACGUG
rnacentral:rRNA from 1 species